AGAUUGAACGCUGGCGGCAGGCCUAACACACGCAAGUCGAGCGGCAGCACGGGUACUUGUACCUGGUGGCGAGCGGCGGACGGGUGAGUAAUGCCUAGGAAUCUGCCUGGUAGUGGGGGGAUAACGCUCGGAAACGGACGCUAAUACCGCAUACGUCCUACGGGAGAAAGCGGGGGACCUUCGGGCCUCGCGCCAUUAGAUGAGCCUAGGUCGGAUUAGCUAGUUGGUGAGGUAAUGGCUCACCAAGGCGACGAUCCGUAACUGGUCUGAGAGGAUGAUCAGUCACACUGGAACUGAGACACGGUCCAGACUCCUACGGGAGGCAGCAGGUGGGGAAUAUUGGACAAUGGGACAAAGCCUGACUCAGCCAUGCCGCGUGUGUGAAGAGUCUCGAUUGUAAGCGUACUUUAAGGUGGAGGUAAGGUUAGUAAACCUUAGUAACGUUGACUAACGUUUCGACGUUACCGA
rnacentral:rRNA from 1 species